GAUGAACGCUGGCGGCGUGCCUAAUACACGCAAGUCGAGCGAACAGACGAGGAGCUUGCUCCUCUGACGUUAGCGGCGGACGGGUGAGUAACACGUGGAUAACCUACCUAUAAGACUGGGAUAACUUCGGGAAACCGGAGCUAAUACCGGAUAAUAUAUUGAACCGCAUGGUUCAAUAGUGAAAGACGGUUUUGCUGUCACUUAUAGAUGGAUCCGCGCCGCAUUAGCUAGUUGGUAAGGUAACGGCUUACCAAGGCGACGAUGCGUAGCCGACCUGAGAGGGUGAUCGGCCACACUGGAACUGAGACACGGUCCAGACUCCUACGGGAGGCAGCAGUAGGGAAUCUUCCGCAAUGGGCGAAAGCUUGACGGAGCAACGCCGCGUGAGUGAUGAAGGUCUUCGGAUCGUAAAACUCUGUUAUUAGGGAAGAACAAAUGUGUAAGUAACUAUGCACGUCUUGACGGUACCUAAUCAGAAAGCCACGGCUAACUACGUG
rnacentral:rRNA from 1 species